GCUCUGCCCAGUCUUUAAUUGUUGCUCUUUUGUCAUUUAGCUCCCCCCCCCCCCCCCUUAAGUGAAAGACAACAAGGCCAGAGCUUGUCUUCUCCUAACCCUCUGUUCUCUGUGUGCAUCUACGUGGGCAUGGCAACCAGGCAGAGCAGCAAUAAAGUCAUUUUUCGUUUUUCCGUCAGUGGAGGACAGCACGCAGACAGCAGGGAGAGCACGCAGAGAAAGAGGACAGCUCAUCCUCUUGUACCUGCGGUGCCAAAAUGCAAGAUGCCGGGCAGAGAGUGGCGACAGCUUGGGGAGGAAUCUUCAGUGCAUAGAAGCAAGUGGGGAAAUAAGAGAAAAGAGAUUGUGAGAGUGACACCCGAACAGACAGCUCCUUUAUCAGCAGGAGAAACUUUCCUUGUUCUUGACACCUUAGACGCAAUAUUUACUUUUUCUUUUUCUACUUUACAGUAAGAAGACCACAAAGUCAUCCUCACUGCGUGAUGAUGUGGCGAAUUGAAUAAUAAAACGCAUUAGACUCAGUGUGUGAGGUCUAUGCACAACGACUUUGAUCGGAUGACAUGACAACGGCUGAAAAACAAAUUGGACUUUAGUGGCAUCUAAGCAGUAAAGCUGAAGAUUGCAAACAACUAAAUACUGCUUGCCUUCCAAGCAUGUGUUUGGUUUGUUCAUUCUGGGUUAACAGGAAAAAAAUAUUUAACACCAAAACUGUGUAAAAAAAACCUGUAUUGCUACUUUCCUGCACCAGACAGUGCACUGUAUGUACAAGGGGGAUUUUUACAAUAAAAUAGCAGAACUGGAACAGUAUAUCAAAAUUCUUGACACACACUAUCAGAAUCUUUACUUACUACAAUACUAUAUAUAUAAGUCUGUACCAGUUUUCCUCAUUGCAAUAUAUACAGAACAAGCUGCUAGCUUCUACUUUUUGCAAUGGCAAAGGUGGAGGAGGGCAGGUUGCUGUCAGCUGGAGUUAUGGGCUACUGUAGAAAUGACAGCUCAAAGUGACAGACUCCAUGGAAGAGGACCCACACCCUUUGUAGAUAAAACUGGCUCAUUCUAAGGUAAUGAAAACACAACUUUUAUUUUCAGAAGAUUAUACAUUAAUAAAACAUACCUAUGAAUAUUAUAUUGCAUUCCUGCCAAUAGAUGAAUGGAAAUGUUAUCAAAAUGAAAGAAGUAAAUGGAUUAAACCUAUCAAAUUCUUGAAUUGACAGACUGUUUUGAUUGUCAUCUUACCUAUUUGCAUGGUAAUAAUAAUGCUAUGUAGCACAGUAUAUACAUACAUCAUACAACAGAAAUUCCCCAUCAAACAUUGUUAUAACUGACUACAAAACUUAACUAAAACUUAAACUUAAAAUCAUCUUGACUUGUAAAAACUUCUUAUGGAAGAAGGUUCAGGUGCUAUCAAUCUUCACAUGUAUUGACCAAGUGUUUCCUGCAGUGUUGUCAAUCGCCACGCUGUGACAUUUGCUGUGGAUCAAGAGAAAAGGUUAAUGAUAUAUAAAACAAAUUGUACAGUACUCGAGGAGGCGAGUUAAUUUGAUCGGCUCCCCAAAAACAAUUAGUCUUUCUGCUUCAUAAGGUUGAGUUGAAGAUAAUAAGCACGAUUAAUAUGGGCAGAGGAAGAUAAUGAAAUGUGAUUCUUAGUCAGGAUAAGAUGAAAGCCAGGGACUACCAGAGCAGAAGAGAAAUACAGUCUCUGAAGCACUAUAACUACACAUAAGUGAGAUGCUUAUCACAUUGUCUGGGCACAAGAAGACAUGUAGUCUGUUUUCUUGCAUUUUAGAUAAAGACAUGUUAUCAUUGGCUCGAAUCAGUAGUGUAUGAUGAUAUCGAUGGUUUCAUUUUCAUUCAGUUUCUUUUGUACAAGCUUCUUCUCAAGCGUGAAAUUGUCUAUACAAUAACUUGUAGUUCUAAUUCAAUAUAUCGAAUGCAAUGUUACAGCUAGUGGGUAACUGAUUGUCAAAAGCAAAUUUUGAGAUUUGUUUCAGUGCUUCACAAUGUGUGAGACACAGUAAGUAACUGUAACAUGCAUCAUUUUUAUUUUGCAUCAGUAUGAUGUGACCAGCCCUGAAGAAAGUACAGGACAUCAUGUUCUCAAAUUUGAAUUGCUAAUCACUUAGUCGAGGCCUAUGAUGCCUGUAGCACCAGUAAAACCUCUCAACUUAAACUGAAGCUGUAAAUGUUCUUUGGUUUGGAUUAACCAAACCUUUAGGCUUGGAUGAAUCAAACCAAGCUGACUAGAAAACAUUCAGACAAGGCAUGCAGGUAAGCUUCAGUGCAGCAGUCAAUGUCAGUGCAGAGAGUUUUGUCUAUUUUCUAAAGUGUUAAAACCAGCAUAGAUUAUAUUCAAGUUAACAUUAAGUAUCUCGACAUUAUCUGUCUUGUUCAUCUUGUGCAUUUACUUUUUGACCUGGGGAUUUGUAAUUCAGAGUGAGGAGAGGCUGAUGUUGUAUUUCCCAUUCACAAUGUCUGACCAGACAGGAACUGUGACCUGGUUGGGGGUGUGAAUGGGGAAGGCCAGAAAACAAGAGAAGAGGGUGGGUCAAGGAACUGACUGUGAC
rnacentral:lncRNA from 15 species